rnacentral:tRNA from 3 species
AAAAUCCGUCACUUUAGAAAUCGUGAGGGUUCAAGUCCCUCUAUCCCCA